rfam:Salmo salar isolate Sally breed double haploid chromosome ssa03, whole genome shotgun sequence.
UGGCUCAGUUGGUAGAGCAUGGUGUUUGCAACGCCAGGGUUGUGGAUUCGAUUCCCAC